rnacentral:lncRNA from 1 species
GAAUGAUGACAACAACACCAUGACGUCAUCCACUAAAAGGAACACCAAUCUAAAUCCAGUUUCCCCAGCGGCUUCUCUCGCCAAGAAACCUGGGAAGAGUCUCACUCUGUAGCCCAGACUGGAACUCAAAGGUGGCUUCAAACUCACCUGCCAAGUGCUUUGAUAGCAGGGGCUGAUAUAUCUUUGGCAUUCAGUUACACAUCACAGCAAAGGUCAUAGGGAGAAGAGUUGUCUUAAUCAGAUACAGAAUCUUCCCAGUCUGUUCAAGUCACCAUCAGCGGAUAGUUCCAAACUAAACCACACAUUCAUAGAUUACAAUAAAAGAAAGACGCAUGCA